AUUGAACGCUGGCGGCAUGCUUUACACAUGCAAGUCGAACGGCAGCGCGGGCUUCGGCCUGGCGGCGAGUGGCGAACGGGUGAGUAAUGCAUCGGAACGUGCCCAGUAGUGGGGGAUAGCCCGGCGAAAGCCGGAUUAAUACCGCAUACGACCUGAGGGUGAAAGCGGGGGACCGAAAGGCCUCGCGCUAUUGGAGCGGCCGAUGUCGGAUUAGCUAGUUGGUGGGGUAAAGGCUUACCAAGGCGACGAUCCGUAGCUGGUCUGAGAGGACGACCAGCCACACUGGGGCUGAGGCACGGCCCAGACUCCUACGGGAGGCGGCAGUGGGGAAUUUUGGACAAUGGGGGCAACCCUGAUCCAGCCAUGCCGCGUGCGGGAAGAAGGCCUUCGGGUUGUAAACCGCUUUUGUUCGGGAAGAAAUCCUCUGGGCUAAUACCCCGGGGGGAUGACGGUACCGGAAGAAUAAGCACCGGCUAACUACGUG
rnacentral:rRNA from 1 species